GGUUGGACUGGAUGACCUCCUGAGGUCCCUUCCAACCCUGAUAUUCUAUGAUUCUAUGAUAUCUUUAAGUACAAAAAAAAUUGAAUGGGGUGAAUGAUUGCUAUUGAUUGACCAGUUACAUGAAAUGGGUAUUUUUAUAUACAGGUGCAGUAAAAUAAAAAUUUGAGAAAAUAUGACUGACAAAAAAGAUAUGUUCAAACCAGUGACUGGAUUAAAAUAUUGACAUUAAUUAAUAAAUCAAGAUUUGCAUUUUCAUUGUUGGUCAUAACGUAUUCAUCAUUUCAUAGCGCUAUAUUUAUUUUUAAGAAAGCAUGGAGGACUACUGCAUAUACUACAACCUUGUCAACUGUGAAAAGGAAAGUGAGGAUUGCACAAUGGUCCAGUGUGAUUCUUGCAAGAGGUUGGCAUAUGCCCUGCAUUACAGAAGGAACUAAUCAAGAAAACCUGACUGAUGAGGAGAAAGAGUACAACUGCAAAAAAUGUGCAUAGUUCACUUCUUUACCAAAACAAAACAAACAAACAAAAAUGCUUAAAUGCCUCUUGUUCAAAACAUAAUGCAACCAAAAGAAUUGUUUUUAUUUAUAUACCAGAUUAUAAUAAUAAAUGUUUUUAUUUGAAAAAAA